rnacentral:rRNA from 1 species
UACGAAGGGGGCUAGCGUUGUUCGGAAUUACUGGGCGUAAAGCGUGCGCAGGCGGCUUCUCAAGUCAGGGGUGAAAGCCCAGAGCUCAACUCUGGAAUUGCCUUUGAGACUGAGUGGCUUGAGUACGAGAGAGGUGAGUGGAAUUCCCAGUGUAGAGGUGAAAUUCGUAGAUAUUGGGAAGAACACCGAUGGCGAAGGCAGCCUCCUGGGCCAGCACUGACGCUCAUGCACGAAAGCGUGGGGAGCAAACAGG